rnacentral:rRNA from 1 species
CAGUAGCCGCGGUAAUACGUAGGUCCCGAGCGUUGUCCGGAUUUAUUGGGCGUAAAGCGAGCGCAGGCGGUUAGAUAAGUCUGAAGUUAAAGGCUGUGGCUUAACCAUAGUACGCUUUGGAAACUGUUUAACUUGAGUGCAAGAGGGGAGAGUGGAAUUCCAUGUGUAGCGGUGAAAUGCGUAGAUAUAUGGAGGAACACCGGUGGCGAAAGCGGCUCUCUGGCUUGUAACUGACGCUGAGGCUCGAAAGUGUGGGGAGCAAACAGGAUUAGAUACCCGCGUAGUCCCUGUCUCUUAUACC